UUUCCCGAAUUGAAUCAUAAUUUCUAGGCGAAUUCAGUGAGUUCCCAAGGGGACAUGCUUGUAUGAGUGUUUUUACAAUAUAUAGCAACAUUUUAAGGAACGAAUCUAAGUAUCAUGGUGAAUUCAGUAGGUUCCCAAUAGGAUUCGCAUGUAAUAAGAUUGUUCUUCGAGAUAGAGCAACGUUUUAACGAACUGAACACUGUUUCUUUGUGAAUUCAGUUAGUUCCCAGUAGCAGGCUCUUGUAAUAUGUGUACUUUUAAAGAUUUAUCAAAAUUUGGUGAGCCGAAUCUCAGUAACUUGGUGAAUUCAGUUAGUUCCCAAUAGGCCGCAGUAGUAAUAAGUGGACUGUUCGGGAUAUAGAAAAAUUUUCACGAAUGGAAUUAAAAUUUCUAGGCGAAUUCAGUGAGUUCCCAAUGGGACAUGCUUGUAUGAGUGUGCUUUUCAAUAUAUAGCAACAUUUUAAUUAACGGAAUCUAAGUAUCACGUUGAAUUCAGUAGGUUCCCAAUAGGAUUCGCAUGUAAUAAGCUUGUUAUUCGAGAUAGAGCAACGUUUUAACGAACUGAAACACUGUUUCUUUGUGAAUUCAGUUAGUUCCCUGUAGCAGGCUCUUGUAAUAUGUGUACUUUUAAAGAUUUAUCAAAAUUUGGUGAGCCGAAUCUCAGUAACUUGGUGAAUUCAGUUAGUUCCCAAUAGGCCGCAGUAGUAGUAAGUGGACUGUUCGGGGUAUAGAAAAAUUUUCACGAAUGGAAUCAAAAUUUCUAGGCGAAUUCAGUGAGUUCCCAAUGGGACAUGCUUGUUUGAGUGUGCUUUUCAAUAUAUAGCAACAUUUUAAGGAACGGAAUCUAAGUAUCAUGGUGAAUUCUGUAGGUUCCCAAUAGGAUUCACAUGUAAUAAGCUUGUUAUUCAAGAUAGAGCAACGUUUUAACGAACUGAAACACUGUUUCUUUGUGAAUUCAGUUAGUUCCCAGUAGCAGGCUCUUGUAAGAUGUGUACUUUAAAGAUUUAUCAAAAUAUGGUGAGCCGAAUCUCAGUAACUUGGUGAAUUCAGUUAGUUCCCAAUAGGCCGCAGUAGUAAUAAGUGGACUGUUCGGGAUAUAGAAAAAUUUUCACGAAUGGAAUCAAAAUUUCUAGGCGAAUUCAGUGAGUUCCCAAUGGGACAUGCUUGUAUGAGUGUGCUUUUCAAUAUAUAGCAACAUUUUAAGGAACGGAAUCUAAGUAUCACGUUGAAUUCAGUAGGUUCCCAGUAGGAUUCGCAUGUAAAAAGGUUGUUAUUCAAGAUAGAGCAACGUUCUAACGACAGAAACACUGUUUCUUUGUAUAUUCAGUUAGUUCCCAGUAGCAGGCUCUUGUAAUAUGUGUACUUUUAAAGAUUUAUCAAAAUUUCGUGAGCAGCAUCUCAGUAACUUGGUGAAUUCAGUUAGUUCCUAGUAGGCCGCAAUAGU
rnacentral:lncRNA from 1 species